rnacentral:rRNA from 1 species
UCGGUCCAUAUCCGGUGCAGGCGUAAGAGUAUUGCGAGGAGCCUUCCUUAGUACGAGAGGACCGGGAAGGACGCACCGCUGGUGUACUGGUUAUCGUGCCAACGGUAAACGCCAGGUAGCCAUGUGCGGAGCGGAUAACCGCUGAAAGCAUCUAAGUGGGAAGCCCACCUCAAGAUGAGUACUCUCAUGGAGUUAAUCCAGUAAGGUCACGGGUAGAACACCCGUUAAUAGGCGUCAGGUGGAAGUGCAGUAAUGUAUGCAGCCGAGGCGUCCUAAUCGACCGAGGGCUUGACCUC